GACGAACGCUGGCGGCAUGCCUAACACAUGCAAGUCGAACGGACGAUGCCCUUCGGGGCAAAGUUAGUGGCGGACUGGUGAGUAACGCGUGAGCAACCUGCCUUUGAGAGGGGGACAACAGCUGGAAACGGCUGCUAAUACCGCAUGAUGCAGCGAGAUGAGGCAUCUCAUUGCGAUUAAAGAACUUCGGAAACGGAUAGGCUCGCGUGACAUUAGCUUGAUGGCGGGGUAACGGCCCACCAUGGCGACGAUGUCUAGGGGUUCUGAGAGGAAGGUCCCCCACACUGGAACUGAGACACGGUCCAGACUCCUACGGGAGGCAGCAGUGAGGAAUAUUGGUCAAUGGUCUGACGACUGAACCAGCCAUGCCGCGUGAAGGUGACGGCCCUAUGGGUCUUAAACUUCUUUUGUAAGGGAGCAAUAAGUUCACGUGUGGGACGAUGAGAGUACCUUACGAAUAAGCAUCGGCUAACUCCGU
rnacentral:rRNA from 1 species